AAUGAACGUUGGCGGCAUGGAUUAGGCAUGCAAGUCGAGCGAGAAGUGUAGCAAUACACGGAAAGCGGCGGAAGGGAGAGUAAUACGUGGGAAUCUGCCCUUAGACCUGGGAUAGCAGCGGGAAACUGCUGGUAAUACCAGAUAAUGUCUAUGGACGAAAGGUGUGAUUCCGUCUAGGGAUGAGCCCACGUCCUAUUAGCUAGUUGGGAGGGUAAUGGCCUACCAAGGCGAUGAUGGGUAGCGGGUGUGAGAGAAUGACCCGCCUCACAGGGACUGAGACACGGCCCAGACACCUACGGGUGGCUGCAGUCGAGAAUCGUCGGCGAUGGGCGCAAGCCUGACCGAGCGAUGCCGCGUGCGGGAUGAAGGCCUUCGGGUUGUAAACCGCUGUCGAGGGGGAGCAACUUCCAUAGAGUUAUCUUUAUGGAUUGAGUGAUCCCUGGAGGAAGGACGGGCUAAGUUCGUGCCAGCCGCCGCAGUAACAC
rnacentral:rRNA from 1 species